AUCCAUAUGAUGAAUCCCAGAUAGGAUGGAACGCGCGUCAAACUGGAU
rfam:Schistosoma mansoni strain Puerto Rico chromosome 7, complete genome